GAUAAAAGUUAUUUUCUGGGUCCAAAGCAGGCUAUGCCAGCAUGAUAGUUUGUUCUCCUAUCACCACAUGUGCAAGAAAUGCUGUCUACCUGAGUGGGCAUGUUCAACAUAUGGGUAGCACUGUUUUGAAUUUGGUGUCCAGAGGACAAUCCACUUCAUGUUGUUUUUGUUUCUCCCCUACACAUUCUAGGGGAAAUUAUGCUCGCUUAUCUGUCUCAAAGACCUCUAGUCCAUC
rnacentral:misc_RNA from 1 species